rnacentral:lncRNA from 1 species
ACAACAAAUUUUGAAAUUUUUUUGUGGAAAUUUCAGCAUCAUUUCAGAUAUCCUAUCAGCGGCAAUUGCAGCCUCAGAAAAUUACCACACAGGUCAGUAACUUGAAUUUUUUUUUUUUUUACUUUAUUUGUUUGCUUUUAUUCGUUGCAGCAACCAUUGUGAUUUCUUGAAGUGUCCUUGUGGUACUAAUGUAUACUAGCAUAACUAUGGUUUGAAAAUGUUUAUAUGUUGAAAACUACUUUCAAUAUUCAUAAUAUUUGUGUAUGCAUAGAUAUUUAAUCUUUAAUAGUGUCCUUGUGGUACUAAUAUAAUACUAGCAUAACUAUGGUCUGGAAAUGUUUAGAUGCUACAACUUCACAUAUUCCUUCAUCUUGAAUGAUUUUGAAUGUAAAGUGACACAAUAAUCUUGGCUCUUGAAACAUGAGAACAAAACAAACGUGAAGUGAUGAUAUGUCUGUACAUUGUACCUUUAUAUGUGCUUAAUAGAAGAAUGAUGCUGAAAGUGCUGUGUACAUGAAACUUGGUCGUAAAGUAGCAGCUAAAGUGGGAUGCCAACAUCAAUCUUGUGUCUAUUUCAGGAACUCAAAGUUAGAAAACAGUAGAUGUCGAGGAAUGUAGCAAUACACCUACGCCUGCACAAGAGCAGCUGUAUCAAAUUGUGUCAAGCUUGUAUUCUGGUGAGAAAUUGUAAAAGGAAAAUGUUGCAGAGUUUACAUGUGUAAUCUUUCAUAUACAAAUCUGACGUCUUGAUAUUUUUCUUAUCUGUUCGUCAGUUGGUAUUUAAAUUAUUAGACAUUAGUUGUUCUGGUUUGUUAAAGUUAGCCUGGCUGCAAUGAGGCCUUUACUAAAUUUUUAAUGUUUAAACAAAACUGUUUAGUGGCGUUGUCUGUUUAUGAAAAGUUCAGCGGUUCU